CGGGGGGAGCAAGCGUUGUUCGGAUUUACUGGGCGUAAAGGGCGCGUAGGCGGCCACCGCAAGUCAAUUGUGAAAUCUCCGGGCUUAACUCGGAAAGGUCAACUGAUACUGCGGGGCUGGAGUGCGGAAGGAGCAACUGGAAUUCUCGGUGUAGCGGUGAAAUGCGUAGAUAUCGAGAGGAACACCUGCGGCGAAGGCGGGUUGCUGGGCCGACACUGACGCUGAGUGCGCGAAAGCUAGGGGAGCGAACGGGAUUAGAUACCCCGGUAGUCCUAGCCUUAAACGAUGAAUGCUUGGUGUCUGGGGUUACAAAGUCCCCGGGUGCCGUCGCUAACGCUUUAAGCAUUCCGCCUGGGGAGUACGGUCGCAAGACUG
rnacentral:rRNA from 1 species